GGCCCCACCUCGAUCCCGCCAGCCAAUCGAGGCAGGGGGCGGAGCCACCCGUAAGAUAGGCGUUGCGGUGGGAAGGGAAAACCCAGCAGGCUCUGUUCGCGAGAUCUGGGCUCUAGGCUCAUGGCAAGGAAACCAGGGCCCCCACUCCUGGUUGCAGCGUCCCUGCGUGCACACGUUAGCAAAUAUUCCCGAAGAGGGGUUGGGGAGGUGACGGCUGCCUUGGGCGUGGGGAGAGUGAGCCCUGCGGUGUAAUGGAAAAAACGGAUUCUGGAGGUGGACUUACUGAGGCAAACAUGACUGUUCCCUGGGUUGCUCCUGAAGUCAGCCUUCUGGAAAGUUCCUCUGAGGAAGAAGUGAAUUGUUGAUCCACCCAAGUUUCCCAACCCCAGCCGCCAAGGACCUGGUGGAGGACCAACGUGCGUGCAUCAGACCCACCUUCAUCUUCAUCUUCAUCCUCCUCGUCUUCAUCUUCAUCAACUUCUCCAUCAUGUCCAAAUUCUUCUUCCUAAAGAACAGUAAAUAGCAACCACUAUUAGGUUGAUCUGCCAAGCUGAGACGUACAAAGAGAAAAACAACUUGCCAAUAAAUGUAAAAAUUCACCAAGGAGAAAACUUUAAUAUUAUCUUUAUCUGCUUUAAUGUUCUGAGAUCUGUUCGUUUUUCUGAAUAAAUGAAUUAAAAUUUUCUUUAAAAACUGC